CCCUUCCUUCUGCCUAGCCUCCUUCCCACACUUAUCAGGGAGUCUGCUCAAGGGCAGCAAUGCCACUCUGCCUGUUGCUUUCCGGGUAGCCCACUAAUACCCCUGGUUUGGUAAUGGAGGAAGAACCAUGUGCACCACCUUCUUGGCCAUCACAACUCUAAUACUGCUGCUACGUCGAUACUUCUUCAACAAAGUUGAACCAGAAAAAACAGAAGAAACAAAGGAGGCUGAAUCGGAUUCCUCUGAAAGAGAAGCAGGAAAUUAAACUCUGGCCCUGCAGGAAGUAUAGAUGCAAAUGGAAAAGAAACAUGUUUUCCUGUAUUAUAGUAUCACCUGGCGGAAAAUUCACAAUAUGUUAUUGAUUAUAUCAUGUUCAGGAAAGAAGAAAUGAAGUCACUGCGCCUUUAAGAUGCAAGACAGAAAGAAAGAAGCCACAAGUGACAAGAAAAGGCAGCAUUAAGAUCUCCUGCAGAAACAUGCUGUUGCAAAAGUAAUGGGAAGAGAUACCCUGGAGGAAACAUUUUCCACUGCCCUAAAUUGAGAAAAUUACAUGUGUUGUGGUUUUAAUUUUUUUCCCAAGAUGUAAAUCCCUAAAGAAAUAAAUAGUCCCAUGAGCCCAGCAAAAGUCAAAACAGUUGAAUUAUUCUUGGAUCAACAAAGAGUACAAGCUACCAGAUGAAACAGAGGGUUUACUGGUGUGACUGGAGUUUUCAGUUACUCAACCAUUUAACGGCAUGUUCUUGGCACUAAGAGGUGUUUCAGCAUUAAUGUGAACGCAUGUUGGGUACAUAAUACAUAUGAAUUUGGAAGGGUUCACAUAUGAACUUGAAACAGUUCAUUUGUCUUGCUGUCUUCCUGUACAUGACAGUUUCUUCCUCCCAUUGUAUAGUAUAAAGAUACGUAGCUUACAAAUUUGGGAGAAACAGCCAACUAUAUUUUACAUAAAGGUAGGAGUGGCAGCUGAGGUACAUUUCUUGGUGAUUGGGUACAUCUUAUAGAUUUUUUGAAAUGGGGAAAAAAUCAACUUGAAGUUUAUGGUUUUGAUGAUUAGACAGGAUAGUUUAUAGAAGGAAGAGAUAUAAGAGAUAUAAUUUUAGAGAGGGGGUCAGAAUAUAAUUGUACUUAUAACUGCUGUGAAGAAUAUUGGAAUUACUUCUUUAUACCUUUCUUUUUUCUACUUUCUUCUUUCAGGGUUUUUUUCUGUUGUUUUUCUUUUCUCCCCUCUGUUCUAUCUAGUGUAUAUAAGUUCUUCUAUUAUUCUGAAGACAUUUAAUAAAAAAUUAAGUAUGAAAAAAUGGAAUGAUGGCUGGGAAAAAUAGUGUCAUUAAAAAUGCAGGCUGGGCAGGAAAGUAGUCAAAAGGCUCAGGCACUUAAUCGUUAAAUUCAACUGGGAUGUUACAUGCAAUAUCUAUUUUGCUAGCUCUGAAUCUCAGUUUCUUUAUAUAUAGGAAACAUAUAUCAGGCAUAAGGAACCAGAAUAAUACUGUGAGCUGAUCAAUUAGUUCUCUUUUUGUUGCAUGCCUAUUUGCAGGAAUCUGACUUCAUUUUCUUGAGAACUGUCAGAUAAGGCUUUAGGGUUUCUGGGGGCGAGAGGCAAUAUCUGCACCAUUUCUUGCUGUGCAAGAAUUCUAAGCUCAGCCCUUCUCCAUGCUUCCUCCCAGUCUAGUUGGAGAUUCCAUCACAAACAAUAAAUACUGCUCCAACUUUCCCCAACCUAGGCUAGAGCACCUCCAGAUGGUUGAAAGAGACCAUCAGUUGAUCAGAUUCGAAGAAUUAACCUCACUUUGUCUAAUUUACUGCAUUCUAGAAGUGAUGUACCUACAAUCCCAAGACAAGGCGGUCAUGCUACCAGAAGUACUGGGAAUUGUAGUUGCAACAUAACUAGAGCUAUCGGAUGGAAGAAAUGCAAUUAGCAAUAUGACAAUUCCAGUGUUUUGGGUGUUUUGAAUGAUGAGAAGGCUAUUUUCCUACAACAGUGGAAAUGAGGGGAGGGAAAGCUACCAAGACAUCCAAAAUGGGGAUUUAAAUAAAUAGAGAUGAACAGCUAAGUAGCACUCAGCUAAUGCAACACAGAUGUCCCACACUCAGCUGGAAAACAAUUAACCCAGAUAUUUUACUGUGAACUCAUUUGCUCAUAGCCGCUGAAAUAUAAAGUCUAAGCAGCAGCUAGAAGAGCAAGACUACUCAGUAGUGGGGGUACUAUUCGUGUUAGUUCACCAUUUGCUUAAGAGAAUGGAGGAACAAAAGUAUCUUUAAGGAAGGCUUGAAUUGUUUCUAUUCAAGAUUUAUACAAUGGAACUAAAGUUUCACAGAUCCAGAAGAUAGGUUAACUUUUGGAAGGAGUAAGCACAUUCUGAAUGUUGAGGGCAUGUCAUGAAUAACAAAAUGGUAUCAAGGGGCUGAUCUUUUCCUAAAAGGGUUGUCAACUGCAAAGCAACCAUCUGCCCAAAAGCAGGUAAAUGAGGUUCCCCAUCAUCUUCUCUGGGCCCACUCCCCCACUAAUGAUAUGGGACAAUCCUGUAUACUUUCUGCAUUUUCUCUAAGUGUAUAGACUGCACUCCGUACAAUCACAUUCCUGUAAUCCUAGAGUCUACUGCAUUUGUUCUCGGCACACCAACUUAUUUAUUUUUAAUUAAAAGAUUUUUUUUUAAGAUCAAAGGGAGCAAUAACUCUGGCAGGAAAAUGACCCUGAGUACCACAUUGCCUCUGCAUUGUUUGUAGAGGUUGGAGAAAGUAUUUGAUCGUGGGGCAAAAGAGAUUAUAAAUAGUAAAUGACAUUGACUCCAAGAGGUAGUUAAUAAAAGCUUACAUUUCAGUUCUUACAUUUUCCUAACUUUUCCUUUAACUCAGGAUUUUUUUUUUUUUUUUUUGAAAAAAAAACAACCUUAAUGACUAGCAAGUUCUUGUAAUAAGAUUUUCUUGCUCCUCUAGGAACAUUUCAUUAAGUCUUUACAACUCUCAUUCCAUAUCCUUAAUGAGAUUUUUUGGUCUGGAAAUAAUGUCUGUCAUCAAAAUCACUACUCUGUUGGGACCUUCUUCAUUUCUGUAGCUGAUUACUAGCAAACAGAGAGAGGGGAGGCCACAGAAGGAACACUAAUUAAAGAGAGACUGGGAAUAGGGAACAGAAGCUGAAAAGGCUGAAGAAAGAGAAAUUGUAUAAAGUAGAAGUAUGAUUGGUCAACUCUGGACAAUGGAAGCUUAUAAAUACCCUUUGGAAAAGUUUGGUAAAGUCUAAGAGAAGUACUUUGUACCAUAUCUUUUGUAACAUAUUUCCCACUUUCCUCUAUGUUGCAGCUUUAUCAUAUUUUAAAACACAGCACUGAUGUCCCAUUACAUUUGGACAAAUUUGAUUAUUAUCAGUAAAAUGUUUUUAUGACUUCAUGCUAGUCAAUUCAAAUGUGUGUGUAUGUAUGUAUAUAUACACACACACACACACACACACACUUAUGCAAGAUAGCUGUGGCAAUAUGCGAGAAACUGGUUUCCUUUAUCCAUAAUUAAAUGAAUUCUUCUGAAAUUAAGGAAGACAUUUGGUGUUAAAUGGGAAGAUAUAUUUUAACCAUGUUUAUUUUUUAAACAAUUAAACAUUAUUGUUUAGAAAAGCACAGUUCCCUAAUUCAGAUGUGGCAAAACAAAUGUGCCAUAGCAUUUACAAAGAAGAACCUCAAAGUUGUACUUCUUUGGCAUUUAAUAUUUUGGGGGGCAGUUCUGAACAUAGGUUAUUCCCUGGGCUCAUCACCAUUUUUAAUCCCAAUUCCAAGAUGGUUUACAUGUCAUUUCUUGAGCUGACAUCUGGUUAUCUAACUGCUGCUAAGGCAAAUGGAAGGCAGUUCAAGGUGACCUAGCAGGAAAGUGGAAUUUUCUGAGACAAUCUAUGGAGACAUUCUGUGUCACUUUGCAGAAUUGUCUUCCAAAGGUCAAAGAGCUGCUGAGCUCCAAUGGCUAGCUGCAGGUCCAUUUCCUCUCAUCUGGUGAUUGAGCUCCUUGUCUCUGUCUAUAGCCACAGAACUACUGGGGCAGUCUCCUUCUUUUCUUUUCUUUUUUUUUUUUUUUUUGUGGUAUACUGGGAAAGAAGAUUUACCACAUGGGAAAUCAAAAUUUGGUCCCUCCAUGAAGCUGUUAUUCCCACCAGUAAGGAGUUAGCACGACUUCACCAGCAACUUUUACUUAUCUUACAGUUCUGCUUAUUUAUUCCCAAAAAACUAGUAUAAUAUAUUAAGGAUUUCAUUUCUCAUUUCUCUCUCUUUCUCAUACAUGGAUACUAAUUAGAAAAGGUACAAGAACACAGCUGCAAGAAAAUUCCAGAAUCUACACUGGAGUAAUAUCCUGACUUACCAAACUCAAUUUCUCCAGAUAGCUUAAUAGUAAGCAAGUGGUCCAACACCAAAGACUUUGCCCAGAAUCAACUGGAACGAAUUGAGAAGUGGGUGCAGAAAGCUAGUGAUAUCUCCUUUCUUUUGAAAUGGAUAGAAAAUGAAAAGUAGUUGUGGGAAAACUGCUCCACGUGUGUGAGCAGGGGGAAAGAGUAAAGGGGCAGGGAUGGAGUACUUUUCUCUCCUGUUUUUUUCUUUGAUCCCAUCCUGGCAGUUUUCUGGAGAGCAUGACUGAUAUCUGUAAGAGAGUGCAGCAACUUUAUGAGCCCUAUUUCUGAGGCAUGGAAUAACUGUGGGGGAUAACAGUUGCCAAAAUGGCUUUUUUCCUUCUACCUUGAGGAUAAGAGAAAAUCUCUGCAGUGGGGCUGUCUUAAUGAUAGCUUUUUAAUUGGGACAUGGAAUAUACAGUAAUUGGAUGGUCUUGACUUCAAACAUUGAUGGUAUAUAUAUAUAAAUGGACAUAUCAAGUAUAUUCUACUUAAAAUAGUACCUUAAAAGAGUACAUAAAGCUCUAACAAUUUAUCUUCAGUCCAGUUCUACCUCCAGGUACCAUAUUUUUUUAUCCAAGAAUUGAUAAUACUAUACAGAAUAAUCCAUUUUUUUGAAAUGAAACAUCCCAUUAUUUGAUUAAGAGACAACAUUCUGCUCAUAGUAUUCCAUGGAAGAAGAUCCGCUGGGAAAACUGCCCUGGCUGACCUAAUAGUGGGUGGAUUUGCUCUUUUGAACAAGGAUUUCUGGCCCGCCCCUGGCCUUUACUGUCUGGAGUUAAAUUUGUGUUUGUCCCAGAAGGUUCUUGAUGAGUGGGAAUGGGCAACUCUCCAUUCUGCUAUUUUCUCAUCACCCAAAAACCACAGCUAGUUUUUAUGAGAAAAAAAAACACACAAAAUUGAUGUUGAUUAUAUUGGACCAAUAGGCCUCAGAGAAGGAACUGCUGGUUUCUUUCCAAGUUCUUGUUUUGACAACCAUUGGGUCUGCUUCGAUUUUGGGACACUCUAUCACCAAGCAACUCUAUGUAGUUGAACCCUUAGCUGGAAAACCUUCACUGGAAAUAAGGAUGAUCUUGACUCCAGCCUACAUUUCUCAUUAUCUGUACUGUAGAGUCAAACAUGACAUAGAUUUGUAUCUUCUGACAUUUCAAGGCAAUGGUGUAAGAGUAAGAGUUGAAGAUUUCUUGGGUAAGAGGCCUCAGGAUGGGGCCUAAGGUGCUUUUAUUUCCCAGUUUUUCUGCCCACUCCCCCUUCCUACCACUGGUUUUCUUAUUAAAUGUGCAUAGGAAGUAUGAAUGAACAAGAGCAGGAUUUUCAUUCUCUUUUUCCAUUAACUUUUUAAAAGGCUUGGGUGCAUUGCAGGAAAAAUCUGUACUUAUACCCAGCAUCUUUGUAUCCCCAGAGAAUCUCUAGGGAAAAAGAGGCAAUUCAUAGUUACAUAUCUGCUUGAACAUUUGUGUGAUUGCUGUUUUAUCUGAACAAAAAAGAAAGCCUCGAUUCUGAAUUUGUGAGUUCUUCGGACUGAAGUGCGAUGUUAGCAAUAUGAUUGACUCAGAACUUGCCUUGCAGUCAGUUGGAAGCAGGCUCUUUGUAUACUUUAUAUUCUGUAUCUGUUUUUUUGUGCUGGACAGAUUUAUUGAUGUGCUGGCUGUCCAAUGUGAAAUAAAUCUUGGAAGUCUCCAUAGAGGA